CUGCAGUUACGCUUGACCAAAGCAAGGGCAUUACCAUCUCAGCUAACAAUGUGUGCAGUGGGACACAGGAGACGCUGGAGGAAACGCUAAAAGCAGCCAUAAGGUAGCCAGUUCCCUCAGAAAGCCUCCUCCUAAUUGCCAGCAUUAAUGACCAGAGUUAAUUGACAUAGAAGAGAUGCCGAAGUAGCCAUUUGGUCUUGACCUCUCAGACCACAGAAACACGAGUGGUACUGACUUCCAUGUCACCUCCCCAUACAACGCAACCAUAACAUGCAUUUGCCAACUACAGGACUGAACACAUCCUACUGCUUUACGCACCUAAAGCAACUGUUUUUUAGGGGGUGUUCUUUUAAGUUUGCUAUCUUUCAUAAUAUGAUAAGCAGAAUAAAAGAAAAAAUGGACUAAGCAUUAAGUAAUUUAAACUUUCCAGCAUUUCACAAGUAAAAAUCAUAUUAAUCCUGAAUCAAGGGGCAAAUUCAUGGCUUCCAGUCUUGAAAAGUUUGUAAGGCUUGUAAGAAUGCAGCCCCAACAGCUUAAACUGAACUGCGCUGAGCCUAACCAACUUAAAUGCUUUCUGUGAACCCACAACAAUUUUCACUUUCCUGUCUCCUUUGUAGUGCUAAUCAUGGGUACAGAACUGCUAAAAGCCAGGUCAAAACCAUGGCCAAUGUGUUUGAUACGAGAUUACUCAGCUUUCGGAGCUUAAACCCCUACUUGACCUGUGACUGAACAGCCACUUAUCCUGCAAAGCAUUCAAUUUCUGCCAAACUUUACCAGUUGAAACAGUUUUAUAAACAAAUGCAUCAUUAACAGCUUAUUCAUACAAAUCGUUAGGAAAAAAAAAAAAAACGAGGACAACAACAGCACUCAGAAAACAAGAACCAUAACGAGUUCAUUCUAA